AUACGUAGGGUGCGAGCGUUAAUCGGAAUUACUGGGCGUAAAGCGUGCGCAGGCGGUUUUGUAAGUCAGAUGUGAAAUCCCCGAGCUUAACUUGGGAACUGCGUUUGAAACUACAAGACUAGAGUGUGUCAGAGGGGGGUAGAAUUCCACGUGUAGCAGUGAAAUGCGUAGAGAUGUGGAGGAAUACCAAUGGCGAAGGCAGCCCCCUGGGAUAACACUGACGCUCAUGCACGAAAGCGUGGGGAGCGAACAGGAUUAGAUACCCUGGUAGUCCACGCCCUAAACGAUGUCAACUAGUUGUUGGUGGAGUAAGAUCCAUGAGUAACGUAGCUAACGCGUGAAGUUGACCGCCUGGGGAGUACGGUCGCAAGAUUAAAACUCAAAGGAAUUGACGGGGCCCGCACAAGCGGUGGAUUAUGUGGAUUAAUUCGAUGCAACGCGAAAAACCUUACCUGGCCUUGACAUGUACCGAAUUUAGCAGAGAUGCUUUAGUGCUCGUAAGAGAACGGUAACAC
rnacentral:rRNA from 1 species